rnacentral:rRNA from 1 species
UCCGUAGGUGAACCUGCGGAAGGAUCAUUAAUGAAUUAAAAAUAAAGAGAGAGUUGUUGCUGGCCGCGAGGUAUCGUGCACGCUCUCCCUUUAUUCAUUCAUCUCACACCUGUGCACUUGUUGUAGGCUGAGCAAUCAGCCUAUGUAUACUUUAUCACACCCUGUAAAUGUCUUACGAAUGUAUACAAGGCGCUUGCGUCUUUUAAAACUUAUACAACUUUCAACAACGGAUCUCUUGGCUCUCGCAUCGAUGAAGAACGCAGCGAAAUGCGAUAAGUAAUGUGAAUUGCAGAAUUCAGUGAAUCAUCGAAUCUUUGAACGCACCUUGCGCCCUUUGGUAUUCCGAAGGGCAUGCCUGUUUGAGUGUCAUUAAAUUAUCAACUCUGAAGUUUUUCAGAGCUUGGACUUGGAGUGUGCCGGACCCCUAACGGGAUUCAGCUCCUCUUUAAAUGUAUAUGCGGAACCUUUGAUUGCGGAUCAGCUCCAGCGUGAUAAUUAUCUACGUUGCGGCGGUGGAACCAGGUUGGGGGAUCUGGCCUAGGAACCCGGUUGGCGGUUACGGCAACAGGGGGGGCUUCACAACCCCUAUCUUUGGGACAAUUU